rnacentral:rRNA from 1 species
AUACGGAGGGGGCUAGCGUUGUUCGGAUUUACUGGGCGUAAAGCGCACGUAGGCGGUUUAUCAAGUUAGGCGUGAAAGCCCCGGGCUCAACCCGGGAACUGCGCUUAUUACUGAUAGACUAGAGAGCGGGAGAGGGUAGCGGAAUUCCCAGUGUAGAGGUGAAAUUCGUAGAUAUUGGGAAGAACACCAGUUGCGAAGGCGGCUACCUGGCCCGGUACUGACGCUGAGGUGCGAAAGCGUGGGGAGCAAACAGGAUUAGAAACCCCAGUAGUCC